CAUAUCACUCGGCUGCUGGGGGGCAGGAACAACUACCUCUGCCCCCUGUAACUCAGCCUGCCACUGGGGAGGGAGGACGCUGCUCUCCUCUCCCUGCACUUUACACUGCCGCUGGGGAAUGGAGACUGGGCUCCCAAUUCCCUGCUGCAUCUGACGCUGGAGUUUCUCCCAACGUGCCAACUGACCUUCUCUUUCUGCCCGUUGUUGCAGCCUCUCUAACACUAGGUUCCUCACGAACCGCACCGAUCUCUCCUGUGGGUUGGAUCCGAAAAAGCUUAGGUGAAACCACACCAUCCGGUCAUACUCUCUCAUAGAGUAG